rnacentral:snRNA from 1 species
UAAAAUAUGGAACGCUUCAUGAAUUUGCCUGUCAUCCUUGUGCAGGGGCCAUGCUAAUCUCUGUAUCGUUCCAAUUUUAGUAUAUGUGCUGCUGAAGCGAGCAC